rnacentral:lncRNA from 1 species
ACCUUGGUUCCUUUGCUUGAGCAAGUGCUCCAGUAUUAUCACAGUAAAGUGGUAUUGGAUUCUUAAUCUCAGGAACAAUAUCCAAUUUUGUGAUGAACUUCUUCAUCUAGACAACUUCUUUGGUAGCUUCACUUACAGCUAUGUACUCUGCUUUGAUAGUUGAGUCAGCUACAAUCUACUGCUUAAAACUUUUCUAACUAAU